GGAAUAUUGGACAAUGGGGGGAACCCUGAUCCAGCGACGCCGCGUGAGUGAAGAAGUAUUUCGGUAUGUAAAGCUCUAUCAGCAGGGAAGAAAGAAAUGACGGUACCUGACUAAGAAGCCCCGGCUAACUACGUGCCAGCAGCCGCGGUAAUACGUAGGGGGCAAGCGUUAUCCGGAUUUACUGGGUGUAAAGGGAGCGCAGGCGGUGCGGCAAGUCUGAUGUGAAAGCCCGGGGCUCAACCCCGGGACUGCAUUGGAAACUACCGAGCUAGAGUGUCGGAGAGGUAAGUGGAAUUCCUAGUGUAGCGGUGAAAUGCGUAGAUAUUAGGAGGAACACCAGUGGCGAAGGCGGCUUACUGGACGAUAACUGACGCUGAGGCUCGAAAGCGUGGGGAGCAAAC
rnacentral:rRNA from 1 species